AAGUCGUAACAAGGUUUCCGUAGGUGAACCUGCGGAAGGAUCAUUAAUGAUUUUUUAAGCAAACCAAAAGCGAAAGCGAGGUUUUGCGAAUAUAUUUAAAACCCCCACUCUUUACAAAAGAAAAAAAUUUUCAUAUUCAUAAAUGAAUAAAAAAAGAUCACUUUCAACAACGGAUCUCUUGGCUCUC
rnacentral:misc_RNA from 1 species